AGGGUUGCUGUAAGACCAGAGGCAUAUACACCGCUUGGCACCGGGCCUGCGCACUGGUGCUGCUUAAUAGCGGUGGACAUUUGUUACUCUCCCUGGGGUGUCUCUGGGCAGGGAGGGCAAGUUGGCCAGACCCCAGGGGUGGUGGAACUGCUGGCGCCUUUACCAGCGGCCACCCACUCACAGACAGCGCUCCUCUGCCUCCCCAGGGCCCCCCUGGAGACAUCGGCUUCAAAGGCAUCCAGGGCCCUCGGGGGCCCCCUGGCCUGAUGGUGAGUCCCCUCCCUCUCUGUCCCGGCCCAAGGCUGGCCAGCCACCGGCUGGGUGGGGGUGUGUGCUCCUCUUCCUGCUCCUUCAGCCUGGCGGCCCCUCCGCCCACAGUCCCCACUUCCUUGUCUAUGCCAUGCCUGCCGGCUGGCCACCAUCUUACCCCAUUGCCUGCUCUCCUGUCUCCACUCUUGGACACCCCCCACCCCCCAAAGCACAGAGGGGGCUCAGGAGACGCAUGGCCUGGUGCCUGCUUGAGGAGGUCUCCGUUCUGUUCCCUUGGGACACUCAGGCUGCCCUCGACCCUCCCGCCCCUGUGACUCUAUUCCCUGGGCCCUGGGACGAGGACACAGAAGCCCUUCUCUCUCCCUUAGGGAAAGGAGGGCAUCAUCGGGCCCCUUGGAAUCCUGGGACCUUCAGGACGCCCGGUACGUGUGCAGGGGGUUGGCCAGACAGACUGCUGGGUUCCCUUUUCUGCCUGGCUCCAGAUUGUCUCUGUGACCCAGGGCCGGUCUGAGCCUCAGUUUCCCCAUCUGGGAAAUGGGCCUUCCUCUCUGAGCCCUCACUCACUGGGCUGUGGUUUAUUGCAGGGUCCGAAGGGCGACAAAGGCAGCCAAGGGGACUUGGUGAGUGGAUGGGGGGACAGUGCUGCUGGGGCUGGGGGAGGGGUGGACUCUAGGAGUGGGGGGCUUAGCCCGGGUCCCCUAACUCUCUCUCCCCGCUUCUGUCUCCCUCCAGGGAUUGCAAGGUCCGAGGGGUCCUCCCGGCCCCCGAGGGCGGCCCGGCCCACCGGGUCCUCCAGGAAGCCCCCUCCACUUUGUAAGUUGGAGAACAUUCUCUUUUGCCUCCUUGGGGUAAGGCCUUGCGGGAAGGGGGUGGGUGUUUGGCAGCUGACCUCUCUGGCCAUGGUGGCUAGAACCCUAAGCUGGGCCCAGGGAUGCACGUGUCCUUUGUCACUCCUUACGGGAGCCCUGGACCCAGGAGGACUCUCCAGCUGCUGGGCUCCCGGGUCGUGCCGGUGCACUCUUACAGACCAGCUGCUUGCUGAGGCUCUGAAUAGGAUCUGGUACCAAUUCCGGGGGCAGUGGGGUCCCCACACCAACAAUCAAGUCUCAGGACAUCAGCUGGGUGUCCUACAGUUUACAGUUCAACUCAACUCUGACACCACCCGGAGAGGAGAGAGCAUCUGAGGGCACGAUCGUUAAAUCGCUGGCCUUUGGCGAUGGAUUCAGCCUCCAGCCUCUGUCCCCUCCCUGGUGGGAAGUGGGGAUGGGUCUGAAAGUUCCAACCCACUAAUAACGUCAUUGGCUCCCCAGGCUGCCAGCCCCCACCCCAAGGGCUUUCCAAAAAUCGCCUCAUUAGCAUAACAAAAGACACUUCUGUCACUCUCAUCACGGGAAAUUCCAAGGGUUUACAGGGCUCUGUGCCAGGAUCAGGUUCAAAGACCGAAUAUGUAUUUCUUACUAUAAAUCGCACCAUCACGGGGUCCCUCCAGCUCAGAUUCUGAGUCCAAUGGGGGUCGGGUGAGAGAGCAGAUCAGGUCCCUGCGUCCCUGCCUGGUGGGUACCCGGCCCAAGCCCUCUGACGCAUCCGUCCCCAUUCACCCCUGUGCCCCCGGCUGGCUGGGAGACUCAGGCCCACUGCGUUCCAGGGAGUGACCAAGGGGACAGAGUGAAUGGAGAGGGGCCGUAGGAAUCUUUGCUCUUCUUGUCUCAGAUUCUUGCCGUCCCUGUCUGUCUGCGUCGCCCACACAAACGUUCCGACAGCCCUGGCCCUCUCUCAGCUCCCUUCCCGGGUCCUUGUCAGUAAGAAAGCCGGCUACGGAAUGUGAAGAGAGCCAGGAAAAAGCCUUGCCCUCUAAACGAUGGAACAUUAGAGGAUUCUGAAUAGUUUGAAUGAUAAUUAAUAUAUCGAGCGCUUGUAAUAUGCCAGACACCAUUAGAAGUGCUUUCCGUGUAUUAACUCCCUUCUUCCGACUGCUCUGAGAGAGGUUUAUAAUCGUGCCCAUUGUCAAGAUGGGGAAACUGAGGAAAAGGGGAGAUUAAGCAGCUUGCCCAGUCAGCAAGAUGCAGUCAGGAAGCAGCAAGGCUGAGAUUUGAACUUGGGAAGUACCCCUGAACCCCAGCCCUGAAACCCCGUCCUGAGCUCCGCCUGCUGUCACCUUCUCUUCACUGUUUUUGUGGCAAGACU
rnacentral:lncRNA from 1 species